CUAAGAAUGAUGGUUUCCAGCUGCAUCCAUGUCCCUACAAAGGACGCAAAUCUCUCUUCUUAAAGAUAAUUACAAUUGAAAUUAUUAAAAUCAGCCCUUCCCCUUAUGCAGCUAUAUUAUGUGAAUCAUCAUGAAUUCUAACACAAUGAAUAAGGGUCUACCAAAGUUCCAUUUGAACAUUUUAUAAUAGAUCCUAUUUCUUUCGUCUUUAAUAAUCUACAUAUCUCUUCUCGGAAUUCUUAAAAUUUCUGCUCUCUGGUGCAACUUUAAAUAGGAAGCCUAGAAUACUACAUCGAGCUGUACACAGCUCAGAUACACAUGGAAUUGUGGUGAAACAGGAUGAUUUUAUGAUGUAUAAAUGGCUAUAUAUGCUGUGCUUCUACUUACCCAUUCUGAUCCAGGGCCACUCCUGGGUGUAGUUUAGUCUUUCUCUUUAGUUACACAACAUCAUGAGUUAACAUUAGUUAGAAAUCUACUUUAAGAACUUCUACAUUUUUAUUUCAAGCCUCACCUUCAAUGUUCUUUAAUUUACAAUUAUUUCCUAAAUGUCCUAUGAUGCACUUUUCCAUGAAGAAAUAGAUAAUGAAUAUGAAAAAAAGACUCUAUAAGCCAUCAGUCUUCAUGCUAGUACAAGGCUGUAUUAUUAUUAUUACUAUCUUUCUUUCUAACUCUGCCUAAUUCUCAAAAUAAAAUUGAACAAAAACUCUAUAUAACCUUCAAAAUAUAAACAUGGUUCUUAUCAAUAGACUCUUCGUAAAACUCCUUUCUUCCCUCCUUUGUGUAUGUUCUUUCUUUCACUUAUCCAGGGACCAUUCAUUAGCUCUCAAUGUCAGAUAUGUUUUGUGUUAGGUGUUGCAAAGAAUAAACAAUAUGAAUACUAGGUCCUGGCUUCUGUUUGUUCAGGUUGUGCACUGAACAACUCUAGGAGGUUCCUUGGUAAACAGGGCCCUGAGGAGCUCCACUUCUAGUGAUGGUUGCUGAGCUUCUUGACAGACUGGCCCACUUUCACUAAAUUCCAAUUCCUAACCUUCCCAACCUCCCCCUUCACGACUCACCCAGCAGACAUCUGAACUGUAUCCUUACCUUUCUACAGGACCUGAUUUCACAAGGUCACCAGUGGCUUCUGGUUGCCUCAAGCCAAAGAGUCCUUUUAACGUUCAUCUUCCUUGCUUUUUGGCAACACUGAACAUAGCUGAACACUCACCAAAAGGAAGGUUCAGAAAAACAAUACGUGGAUUAAACUACAUUUUAGAAAGGAAACUACUGCAUGGACAAUUUGAAGACUGAGCAGCUUAGAACAUUAGGAUAAUCGAGGAAAUGAAAUAGAAGUGGUAGUAAAGAAUGACUGGAAUAAAGCCCAUAGGAGGAAGACAACAGAAUAGAACAAGAGGCAGAGAGAAGCUUGGUCUAUUUCUGGGAGAGGGAAAGCGAAUGGAGGAAUGUUGAAUGGAGACAGAGCUCAGAAAACAUGCCGAGGCAGCUCCAGCUGAAAAGGAGAGUGACUGCCCAGCUGGAAAGACUAUGGUCAGGAAGGAGAAAUGAAGCUAAAUUAGGGAGAGGUGGAAGCCCCAUGGACAAAUGAACGACCCAUCACAUUCCAAGGCUGUGGAGGCAGCCAGUGGGUCAGGAAUCCUGAUAUAGCUGCUGGGACAGGUGGUGGCAAGAUUGAGCUCAAUUACCAGUUAUGAUAGUAAGAACAUCAUAGAGAAUGUCAGCACUGAUAAAAAAGCAGGAAUGAUGUCAACAUCUAUUAUUAAGAAAACAACAAACGAGAGAAUUAAAAAGAGCAACUGUUAAAAUUCCUUCGCCCUGGGUUUAGACCUUCAAGAUGAGGACAGUGCACAGGUUUGCUGCUUUUCAUUAUAAACCCUUUCGUGCAAUUUGAUUGUUUAACCAUGCACAUAUUGACUAACUAUGUGCAAUUUCACUUUGCAAAAAUUGUCAAUAUAAUUGGUGUGGGCAAACCGUUAAAAAAUAAAACCUCACCUUUAACCAAGGCAACAAAUCUCAUAUAAUAGCAUCUUACAUACCAACACCAAAUGAAUGGAUGAUUCUUUGAGGACGGGGACUUCUAGAACAUUCAGAGUCUUCCCUCUAGGGUUAUGGUCUGCUUUGCAUAUAAGUAAAGCUAAUCUUUCUUGGUUCUCCUCAAACAUACUAUGUACACUUAAAAUGUAAUUUAUUGUAAUCACAUGCAGUGCAAUAAAAUCUAAACUACUGCCCUUGUUUUUCCAUAGCAGGCAGACAUGAUCUGUUUUUAUAUGUGUUAGCUAUUCAUUCAGUUAUAUAGCUAACUUCUAUUUAAUUAUUUAUUUUUUCAUUUAUUUAUGUGUGUAUGUAUUUAUACCCCAUUACAUUUCAGAAAUGUUUGAAGAAAGCUAUGUAGUAGAUUAUAUGUCAUUAGCUGUAGCAGAAUGUCAUGUUUAUUAUGUGAUAUUCUGUAAUUAUGUAUUUAUGUAAAAAGUCAUGCAAUUUUUUUAUUGAUAACCUAAUAAAAGGCUGGAUGUACUUGUUUUCAAAUUUUGAAGAAUAAAAUCCUUUUAGAAUGAU